rnacentral:rRNA from 1 species
ACUCCUACGGGAGGCAGCAGGCGCGCAAAUUACCCACUCCCGGCACGGGGAGGUAGUGACGAAAAAUAACGAUACGGGACUCAUCCGAGGCCCCGUAAUCGGAAUGAGUACACUUUAAAUCCUUUAACGAGGACCAAUUGGAGGGCAAGUCUGGUGCCAGCAGCCGCGGUAA